rfam:Vitis vinifera, whole genome shotgun sequence of line PN40024, unoriented chromosome 19, chr19
GCAUUAGUGGUCUAGUGGUAAAAUAGUACCCUGCCAUGGUUCAUAACUAGGUUUAAUUCCCUGUCAGUGCA